rnacentral:lncRNA from 1 species
UGACAGGCUUGAGCCACUGCGCCUGGAGCAAUUAAAUUUAAAUUAAUUAAAAUUAAAUAAAAUUUAACAUUCAGUUCCUUAGUCACAGCAACCACAUUUCACAUGUUCAGUAGGCACAUGUGGUUAAAGGCUACUGUAUUAAACAGCGCAGAUACAGAACAUUUGCAUUGCAGAAAGUUCUAUUGGACAGUGCUACUCUAAACUUUGGAGAUGCAAAGAUCAAUACACGGAAGAUGGCAAUAGGAGGAAAAAAUACCUACUAUUAUACAAAUAGCCGUGCUGUUUCCUUGCUGAGAGAAAAACUGGCUAUUGAAAAGCAGCGAUUGAACUUGUGAACAAUGGGGUGAUUUGAACUUGGAAAAGAAGGAAAAAUGGAUGCUUUUUCCUCUCACUAAAUCCUCACAGCAUUGUGGACUCACACGAACCUUUAGAAAUCAUUAUUCUUUCCAUUUUUAAUUGACAAAUAAAAGUUAUAUACAUUUAUUGUG